UACGGAGGGGGCUAGCGUUGUUCGGAAUUACUGGGCGUAAAGCGCGCGUAGGCGGACCUGCAAGUCGGGGGUGAAAGCCCGAGGCUCAACCUCGGAACUGCCUUCGAUACUGGCAAUCUCGAGUCCGGAAGAGGUUGGUGGAACAGCUAGUGUAGAGGUGAAAUUCGUAGAUAUUAGGAAGAACACCAGUGGCGAAGGCGGCUCACUGGUCCGGUACUGACGCUGAGGUGCGAAAGCGUGGGGAGCAAACAGG
rnacentral:rRNA from 1 species